UAUUUCUAGUGAUUGGAAUGAUGGGAAUUUAAACCCCUUUCAGAGUAACAAUUGGAGGGCAAGUCUGGUGCCAGCAGCCGCGGUAAUUCCAGCUCCAAUAGCGUAUAUKAAAGUUGUUGCAGUUAAAAAGCUCGUAGUUGGAUGUCUGCUGGAAGCAAUCAGUCCGCCCUAUUUGUAGGGUGUGCACUUGAUGAAUUCUGGCAUUUUUGUCCCAAUGAUGUAACGGGGCGGUGGUASUCGGUGAAAGCCGAGUAUCCUGUUUUCCGAUUAUUGGGAUACUGUUACUUUGAGAAAAUUAGAGUGUUUGAAGCAGGCUAAUUGCCUUGAAUACUGCAGCAUGGAAUAACAAUAUAGGAUUUCGGUUCUAUUUUGUUGGUUUCUAGGACUGAAAUAAUGAUUAAUAGGGACAGUUGGGGGCAUUCGUAUUUAACUGUCAGAGGUGAAAUUCUUAGAUUUGUUAAAGACGAACUACUGCGAAAGCAUUUGCCAAAGAUGUUUUCAUUAAUCAAGAACGAAAGUUAGGGGCUCGAAGACGAUCAGAUACCGUCGUAGUCUUAACCAUAAACUAUGCCGACUAGAGAUAGGAAAAUGUCAUUUUGCUGACUUCUCCUGCACCUUA
rnacentral:rRNA from 1 species